UACGGAGGGUGCAAGCGUUAUCCGGAUUCACUGGGUUUAAAGGGUGCGUAGGAGGGCAGGGAAGUCCGUGGUGAAAUCCCAGAGCUUAACUCUGGAACUGCCGUGGAUACUCUCUGUCUUGAAUGCCGUGGAGAUGAGCGGAAUAUGUCAUGUAGCGGUGAAAUGCUUAGAUAUGACAUAGAACACCAAUUGCGAAGGCAGCUCGUUACACGAACAUUGACUCUGAGGCACGAAAGCGUGGGGAUCAAACAGG
rnacentral:rRNA from 1 species